UACGUAGGGGGCAAGCGUUGUCCGGAAUUAUUGGGCGUAAAGAGCGUGUAGGCGGUCCGGUAAGUCAGCUGUGAAAGUCAAGGGCUCAACCCUUGAAUGCCGGUUGAUACUGUCGGGCUAGAGUCCGGAAGAGGCGAGUGGAAUUCCCGGUGUAGCGGUGAAAUGCGCAGAUAUCGGGAGGAACACCGGUGGCGAAGGCGGCAUCCUGGACCAACACUGACACUGAGGAGCGAAAGCCAGGGGAGCAAACGGG
rnacentral:rRNA from 1 species